UACGGAGGGUGCGAGGGUUAAUCGGAAUUACUGGGCGUAAAGCGCGCGUAGGGGGCGGGAUCAGUCGGUUGUGAAAGCCCCGGGCUAAACCUGGGAACGGCAUCCGGAACUGUCAGGCUAGAGUGCAGGAGAGGAAGGUAGAAUUCCCGGUGUAGCGGUGAAAUGCGUAGAGAUCGGGAGGAAUACCAGUGGCGAAGGCGGCCUUCUGGACUGACACUGACGCUGAGGUGCGAAAGCGUGGAUAGCAAACAGG
rnacentral:misc_RNA from 1 species